UACAGAGGGGGCAAGCGUUAUUCGGAAUUAUUGGGCGUAAAGGGCGCGUAGGCGGCCUGGCAAGUGGAAGGUGAAAUCCCUCGGCUUAACCGAGGAACUGCCCUCCAAACUGCUUGGCUUGAGUCCGGGAGAGGUGAGUGGAAUUCCCAGUGUAGCGGUGAAAUGCGUAGAUAUCGGGAGGAACACCAGUGGCGAAGGCGGUUGCCUGGGGCUUUGCUGACGCUGAUGCGCGAAAGCGUGGGGAGCGAUCCGG
rnacentral:rRNA from 1 species